CUCAGAUUGAACGCUGGCGGCAGGCUCAACACAUGCAAGUCGAGCGGUAGCACAGGGGAGCUUGCUCCCCGGGUGACGAGCGGCGGACGGGUGAGUAAUGUCUGGGAAACUGCCUGAUGGAGGGGGAUAACUACUGGAAACGGUAGCUAAUACCGCAUAACGUCGCAAGACCAAAGAGGGGGACCUUCGGGCCUCUUGCCAUCAGAUGUGCCCAGAUGGGAUUAGCUAGUAGGUGGGGUAAUGGCUCACCUAGGCGACGAUCCCUAGCUGGUCUGAGAGGAUGACCAGCCACACUGGAACUGAGACACGGUCCAGACUCCUACGGGAGGCAGCAGUGGGGAAUAUUGCACAAUGGGCGCAAGCCUGAUGCAGCCAUGCCGCGUGUGUGAAGAAGGCCUUCGGGUUGUAAAGCACUUUCAGCGAGGAGGAAGGUGGUGAACUUAAUACGUUCAUCAAUUGACGUUACUCGCAGAAGAAGCACCGGCUAACUCCGUGCCAGCAGCCGCGGUAAUACGGAGGGUGCAAGCGUUAAUCGGAAUUACUGGGCGUAAAGCGCA
rnacentral:rRNA from 1 species